ensembl:misc_RNA Metazoa_SRP Metazoan signal recognition particle RNA
ACUGGGUGUGAUGGCACACACCUGUAAUCCCAGCUACUCAGGAGGCUGAGGCAGGAGGAUGGCUUGAGCCCAGGAGGUCAAGACUGCAGUGAGCAGUGAGUGUACCACUGCACUCCAGCCUGGGUGACAGAGUGAGACCCUGUCUCAU